CCUACGGGAGGCAGCAGUGAGGAAUAUUGGUCAAUGGGCGCGAGCCUGAUCCAGCCAAGUAGCGUGAAGGAUGCCUGCCCUACGGGUUGUAAACUUCUUUUAUAAAGGAAUAAAGUGAGGCACGUGUGCCUUUUUGUAUGUACUUUAUGAAUAAGGAUCGGCUAACUCCGUGCCAGCAGCCGCGGUAAUACGGAGGAUCCGAGCGUUAUCCGGAUUUAUUGGGUUUAAAGGGAGCGUAGAUGGGUUGUUAAGUCAGUUGUGAAAGUUUGCGGCUCAACCGUAAAAUUGCAAUUGAUACUGGCAGUCUUGAGUACAGUUGAGGUAGGCGGAAUUCGUGGUGUAGCGGUGAAAUGCUUAGAUAUCACGAAGAACUCCGAUUGCGAAGGCAGCUUACUAAACUGCCACUGACAUUGAUGCCCGAAAGUGUGGGUAUCAAACAGGAUUAGAUACCCUUGUAGUC
rnacentral:rRNA from 1 species